AGUGAACGCUGGCGGCGUGCCUAACACAUGCAAGUCGAACGAUGAUGGCUGAGCUUGCCCAGCUUGAUUAGUGGCGCACGGGUGAGUAUACCAUAGAUAAUGUACCUCUUAGUUCGGGAUAGCCACUGGAAACGGUGAUUAAUACCGGAUACUCCUUCUUGUCAUAAGAUAAGUCGGGAAAGUUUUUUCGCUAAGAGAUCAGUCUAUGUCCUAUCAGGUAGUUGGUGAGGUAACGGCUCACCAAGCCUAUGACGGGUAUCUGGUUUGAGAGGAUGAUCAGACACACUGGAACUGAGACACGGUCCAGACUCCUACGGGAGGCAGCAGUGAGGAAUAUUGCACAAUGGAGGAAACUCUGAUGCAGCAACGCCGCGUGGAGGAUGACGCAUUUCGGUGUGUAAACUCCUUUUAAGAGGGAAGAUUAUGACGGUACCUCUUGAAUAAGCACCGGCUAACUCCGUGCCAGCCGCCGCGGUAA
rnacentral:rRNA from 1 species